ACCAAGAUCCAGGAUGAGGAGUGCACCUAGAGACUGAGUGAGAUGAUCCAGGGCCGGAAGAGCGACAGCUUCAACAACCCGCGGGAGCCGAGAGCAGGAAGGAGGCAGCCGUGUCAGAGGAAGAGGCCGAGUUCAAGGUCAAGCUAGAACCCGUGGGGGUCUGCUCGCUGACCUUACACGGGAUGACUUAGAAAGGGUCCAACAACUCCGGCAACAGUUGGUGGCAGUUUAAGAGGCUAGGAUAAAGAGACUGACGCUAGAAGAGUGCCAACAGCUUCUACAAAGAUAUCUCACACGGGAACCUAGUCUAAUUUUUGAUCUGAUGAGUCUCACCCCUGAUCACCCUCAACCUGGAUCUUGUCCUCCACAGUCACCCAGCUGGUGUGUCUGUCUACAGUGCAGAAAUAUGGCAAAAAUGCUGUCAACAACAACCACAGAACUGUACGUCACUGUUGCCACACAUGGACUUAAACAUCUUGAAUGAAGGUGCAUUGAGAUUGGCCAGACGAAUCUGGAACAACCUUAGAGCAAAGGUUGACAUCCACGAUCCGGGAGAAAGCCAUAGGCAGUUCUGCUAUGCUGAGUCCUGUCAGUGAAAUAAGAGUAGAACCAGAGGAGCACCAUACCAGAAACCCCCAGAGAUGCCAACCUAGCCAACAGAGUGGAGUGAUAGCUUGUAUCAAAAGCAACGCUAAGAUCCAAAGAACCACAAUGGAAAUUAGUCCAUAAUCAGCUGCCAUUAGCAAAUCGUUAGGGUUAUUUUGAUGAGGACAGUUUCUGUACAGUGAUGAGGAAGGAAACCUGACUGAAACUGUUCGAAUAGAUUAUUGGGAGUUAAAUGUCAACGGAGCUGUGAAACUACAGUUUUCUUCAGGAUUUUUGAAAGAAAAUGGAGAUUAGAAAUGGGUCUUAAACUAUUUAGGUCAUCAGGAUCAAACCCAGAUUUUUUCAGUAUAGGGCUAAUUAUAGCUGACUUCAGUGACUGAUGGACAUCACCAGUAACAAGAGAGGAGUGGAUAAUUGAUACAAUAAGUGAAAGCAAGGCCGACACAGAAGUUUUAAGUAAACUAGUAGGGAUGGGACCCAGAAGACAAGUGGAAGAUUUGGAGCUACGGAUAAGGUCUGCAAUCUCAGAAGCAGAAGGAAGCUCAAACUGAGAAUGUGGAUGUCAGAGGAAAGUGUUCAUCAGAGACAAAGACACCAGAGGAUGAGCCCAUACCCUGGAGAUUUUUUUAAAUCUUUUCAUUAAAAAAUGCUAUCAGCGAGUUACAAAAUUCGACUGAAUAACAGUGUGAGGGUUAAGAGUAAAUCAUGAAUAAAACAUUUGAUAGUAUAGAAGAAACAACAUCUUUUACAUUAUCUGAUUUAGUAAAUAUCCAUAGAAGAUAAUAAAAUGCUUUCAGGUCACCAUCACCAAAAAGAAAAUCUUUCUUCUUUUGACUGGACGCCUUCAUAAACUUGCCACCCUUCGUUCGGUAGUCUGUUUAUUGUUGAGUACACCGACACAAGGUCAAAGAUAAAACCCAAAUUAUCAAAAAAAGUCUAAUUCAUGAUAACCUUUUACCUUGUUAAGCUAGGCAUACACUGCGACUUUUCCACUUUUUUUUUUUUUACCGAUUUUCCCCUCGUGCAAGAAUCUACAAGAUCAAGGCGAAUUUUGCAUUGAGCGUUGUGUAGUAUACGGGGUAACGAUACGCUAAAAUGUUAUUGAAAUGUAGGCACAUUUUUUUAAUAAAAUAUCUAACUAUAAAGGUUGGUUUAUGCUUGACGCGUCCGCGAGGUCCGCACGGCUCCGCGCGGAAAAGUUGCGUCAUUUUAACAACCACGCCCCUCCACCGCGUCUCCGCACGGCCCAAGAUUUCCGCAACGCGCACCUCGGAAAAUUUCUGACCACGCCAAUGGUCGGACGCGGAAAAACAUGGCGGACCGGCAAGAACUAGUAUGGCAGUGGUUCGUAAAUACAGACAUUUGUAUGAUUCAGCUCUCAGAGAUCACCGGGAUCAACAUGUUGUUAAUAAUUCUUGCAGAGAAAUAGCUCGCACCGUCGGAAAAGAAGAGAACGCUGUUAAAAAUGCUGGAAUGCCAUGUUGUAAACAGUAAUUUCUACUUCUACUAUGGUGUAGUGUUGGAUGCAUGCCGUAGAGCUCCAUGCUGCCCCGUUCAGUUUGGGAGAAUAUUGGCUCACCGCAGAGACAAGCCGCACAAACCAUAAACGCUGCGAGUUGUGAAGCGCGUUCCAUCCGCGAGCCGCAUCACAGCGCGGAAAGUGAAUGCGUCAAGCAUAAACCAAGCUUAAAUAUCAGAUGUGAAACGGGGAACUAGACAACACCAAUAUAAUACAUAUUAUAGAACCUUUUAUAACAAGAGUCUGGCAUUUCAGCCUCAUCAUUUUGUUGUUUUGUCUCAUAUUUUAGCAGCAGACCACGGUCUCAUUACACUUGAAACAUUGUCAAAUGGAAUAUUAUAUUAAUGAAAAAUGUUAUAAAACCUCUUAAAAGUUUUUAUCACAGAGGAGGCAGCGCUCAUUUCUGUCUUCAGUCUGACGGCGCGCCGGAGUUUGUGCGGCAUGCGCGCUUAUUGAAUCUCUGUGUUUGUGUGCGCGCGCGGCACAGCUCCAUGAGCCGCUCCAGUCACCGCGUCUCGUUAUCGGCGCUAUUUAAACCAAUGUUGUAAAAUUACUUCUGCCCAGCCCAGAUGUGCUCACUUGUGUACCCGUGAGCCGUGGUUCCGCUGGAACGCGUCUGACCUCUGACAGACGCACUCUGAGCUUCAGAUCUUCAGCGCGCUGUUAAUAGCCUGAAUGGGAAUCAUUUCUUGAUUUAUUUGGUUACAUCCACAAUGUUCUGUGUGUGAGGUUUACAAUGUCAGAGCAUCUGCCUGAGACAGGGUGUUAAUUACAAUCUGCCAGAAUGACUCACCUUCAGAUUCCUCCAACACCGUUAAAAAUGAUCAAAUACGGAACAUAUCGGCGUGCGCAGGCCAGAGUGCUGAAGCUCGGCACAUUGUUAUUAUGAAGCUAGGGCACAUGUGGAGGACACACGCGCAAAAAUAUACUUGUUUUCAAUUACAUUUAUUGUGCCCACUUACUUUUUCUUAGGCCCACCCACAAAUGAGUUUCUGGCUACGCUAAUGGUGACAUAUGACAGACUUCUCUGAGCUCCGCAGCCAUUACACUUUUCACCUCGCGCACCCCCUAGCGGCAGCUCGUGCACCCCCAGGGGUGCACGCACCACACUUUGGGAAUCCCUGCAUUAAAGUACUGCAGCAAUUUCCUAAUGUUCUGAUUUCUCUCACAUAUGGCAAUAAAACAUUCUAACUCUGAAGUUUAGCCUAUUGCACUCACUACGAUGCUCUAUAUACCCAUCAUUAGUUUCUAGUUUGAAGUUAUGUGCCAUCUAAAAAUAAAGACAAGUUUAUUGCUUAUCAAACAACUUUUAAUUAACUUUGUUGUUGUAAAAUAUUAAUACCAUUGACAUAUAUACUGGACAAUUCGUUUAGGCUCCAAUAAUACAUUUAGGCUCCAAUAAUAAGGCUGGGAUCAAAUGACGACACCCGUUGAACUGAAGCGAUGUAGUUCCAAGCUAACCCAAAGCUAACGCGGAGGUGGGAGCUAAGCUAACGGAGGUAGCAACCUAGCUACAACCGGAGUUGACUGUGCACAACACCAGAGCUUCUGAGUCACAGAUACGCCGGGCUGACCGCUGGGUAAAACCAGGUGGAAAACAGAGGUCUCCCAAGAGCUCCACAAGCCAGCAGCCACGCAGCAGACAAGCACCGCUGCGAUCAGAGAUGUGCAGAGCUGCUGCUGGGGAGAACCGGGUGGAAAACAUCGGUUUCCAUCCGAGAGCUCCACAAGCCGGUAGCCCGCGCAGCAGACAUAUGCCGCAGCGAUCAGAGAUGCGCCGAGCUGCGGGGAGAUGACCAUACCGAUAGUCGGAACCCAGCUCCACCAACAUGUUAUAUUUCAACCCAUUUUCUAAAAUGCAGCGUUAUGUUAAAUGCACUGGGUUUUACCCUAUUACAUUUAAAUUUCAUGGUUAAAAAGUACAUGUUAAAAUCUAAGCUCAGCUAGCGCAAGAGCGGCAGUGACCUAAAAUACAUAAAUAUAAUUUUAUUUACAGAAAAAAAUGAAGUGGAAUUAAUACCACAGCAAGUCAUUUUGUCCAACAAUUGCACAAAUAAUAUCCAAAAAAUAAUGCACAAACGCUACAACUUAAUGGUCUAAGUUGAGAGACAGAAAAUCGUGGAAAAGUGUUCAGGCGUGGCCGAGGCUCAGGCUGUCUUUCGCCGGCGCUAGCUCUGCGGUCAUGUGGCUCAUUAAUUAUUCAGAAUUUUAGGCAUUUAAUACACUAAAACAGAAAAGUGACAAAAUCUUUCAUCCCCCUCAGAGUUGUCAUGAGUGUAAACUAGAUCUAUUAAACCUAAAACGUUUUGGAAUCAGGCUUAGCACUCCAGUGGAUAAAAUCUUACCUGUCAAGGAGGAAUUUUUGUGUAAGACUGGGGGACUGUUCAUCUGAUACUGCUGAUUUGCAAUGUGGAGUGCCUCAGGGAUCAGUCCUGGCACCGCUCGUCUUUUCCCUCUAUCUGCUGCCGCUGGGUGACUUGUUUCGUCGGCACAACGUCAAGUUUCACCUGUAUGCGGAUGACUGUCAAAUCUAUUUACCUGUAUCAUGCAAUAACAAGUUCUUUUAAACCGCUCUUGGACUGCUUGGAGGAGGUCAAGUUAUGGAUGGCUCAGAAUUUAUUGUUCUUCAACCAGAAUAAAACUGAGACUAUCCUGUUCGGCCCGAAAUACAAACAUGGAUGUGGCCAAGGGAUUGACUCUCCUUCAUUAGCACCUUUUGAGAAGGCUGUGAUCACCAACCUGGGGGUGAAGUUGGAUGUUGAGCUCACACUGGACAGCCAGGUCAAUGUAACACUCAGAUCCUGCUAUUUCCAUCUCGAGAAUAACUAGGAUUAAGCCGCUUCUUUCACGUAAACAUUUGGAAACGGUCAUCCAUGCCUUCAUUACCACCAGACUGGACUACUGUAACUCACUUUAUGCAGGCAUCAAGCAGGCCUCCAUAGCAAAACUACAGAAGGUCCAAAAUGCGGCAGCCAGGUUACUGACUGGUACCAGGAGAUCAGAACACAUCACGCCUGUCUCGGCAUCCCUACACUGGCUUCCAGUCUCUUUUAGAAUGUUGUUUAAAGUUUUGGUGUUUGUUUUUAAAUGAUUAAAUGGGUUGGCUCCA